UCUGACUGCAGCAGGUCGGGAGAGUCAGACAGGAUUGAUUAGCAAAAAGAUGUUCCAAUUUAGCAUCAAAUAAACAAUGUUCACAAACAAACCCUUAACUCUAUAAUCUAUAAUCUCUCCCUCUCACAAAACACACACACGCCUAGGUAUUCGCUUAACAACAAAACCAGUUGAGCAUCCAAACAAAUAAUCAAAAUAUAUUUACUAGGUUUCAACCAUAUGUCAACUGUUGAUCCUGGAGAGUUUCUCUCCUCUUGUUUUUUUUGCCUUUGGCUUCUUUGCACUCGGGUCUAAGGAUUUCUCUUGUUGUGAGCCUACUGUGGGGAGUCAACACAAUUAAAAAGACACAGGAAACAGUUGUGUGAAAUUGAAAAAUCAAGUGAUAAUUUAGGGGAGGUGUUUUUUGGUUGUGUUGGGGCUGUUUAAAAGUCACUGCGCUACACAAUCAAUUUCAGACUGUAAAUUACCCACGCACAAACAAUUCCCCCCAACCCCACGUUUUGCACAGAGUGAAAAAAAACAGUAUUUUAAGCAUCCAAAACCAAACAGUUUGCAACAAAAUGCCUUU